UACAAUGGCAGGUACAGAGGGAUGCUACCGGGCGACCGGAUGCGGAUCUCGAAAGCCUGUCCCAGUUCGGACUGGAGUCUGCAACCCGACUCCGUGAAGCUGGAUUCGCUAGUAAUCGCGCAUCAGCCAUGGCGCGGUGAAUACGUUCCCGGGCCUUGUACACACCGCCCGUCAAGCCAUGGGAGCCGGGGGUACCUGAAGUCCGUAACCGAAAGGAUCGGCCUAGGGUAAAACUGGUGACUGGGGCUAAGUCGUAACAAGGUAUC
rnacentral:rRNA from 1 species